GACGAACGCUGGCGGCGUGCUUAACACAUGCAAGUCGAACGGGAAGGUCCUGCUUUUGUGGGGUGCUCUAGUUGCGAACUGGUAAGUAACACGUGAGUUACCUGCCCUUGACUUUGGGAUAACUUCAUGAAACUUGGGCUAAUACCGGCUAGGAGCUCCUGCUGCUUGGUGGGGGUGGGAAAGUUUCGGCGGUUGGGGAUGGACACGCGCCUUAUCAGCUUGUUGGUGGGGUAGUGUAUUACCAAGGCCUUGACCGGUAGCCGGCCUGAGAGGGUGACCGGACAAAUUGGGACUGGGAUACGGCCCAGACUCCUCCGGGAGGCAGCAGUGGGGAAUAUUGCACAAUGGGAGGAAGCCUGAUGCAGCAACGCCGCGUGCGGGAUGACGGCCUUCGGGUUGUAUACCGCUUCCGCCUGUGACGAAGCGUGAGUGACGGUAAUGGGUAAAGAAGCACCGGCUAACUACGUG
rnacentral:rRNA from 1 species